ACUUAUUAUUAAAGAAGCAUUUUUCCUCCACCCAGAAUCCUAUAAAUGUUGUAAAUAGAACAUGGAAAUUGUAGUAGUAGGAUCAAUUUGAGAAUAUCUGCUGAUAGACCAAAAAGUUCAUUUUUUUAAGUACCUUGGUUAAUUAAAAAGUAAAAAGAUUAUUUCUCUUGCUUAUUUUUGAAAAGAAGAAUGCACUUUAACAUAGAGCUGCAUGGGCAAUUCAAACAAAUCUGUGAAGUGCAGUACCC